GCUCCCCGAAGAGGUAGCGGGGCAGGUUGACAAGCCCGCCUCUAAGGAGACUUCGUCAAGGUGUCGCCGGCCGGGCCUCCUUGACCCCCCUCUGGACUAAGCUUCGGUGCCUAAAGGCCACGUCUAAGGCUGGUAGACCGGGCGCUCUUCCGAGAAAACCGGGAAGGACUGUUUUGGCUUCGCAAUAAACCCACCGAACUAUUAUUUUUUCAUCAUUUAAACAUUGUGGCCCCCACUGCGAUCCCCCAGGCCAACAGGAAGAGAUCUGAAAAGAAGCUGGAACCUUGUUUUCACCCCAAUUCUGCCCAGGAACCCAAUCCUUUGGAAAUGGUUAUCACUGGUGCUUGGUACCUGCACUACAAAUCCACUGCUUCUGGAGGCUAUUUUUUCCCUUUUGUUGCCCUUGUUUAUCAUUGUUGUUAUUGCUACCGAUGCUGUUGGAUAGGACAGAGAGAAAUCAAAAGAGGAGCGGAAGACAGAGAGGGGGAGAGAAAGAUAGACACCUGCAGACCUGCUUCACCACUUGUGAGGCGACUUCCCUGCAGGUGGGGAGCAGGGGCUCUAACCGGGCUUCUUACACUGGUCUUUGCGCUUUGCACCAUGUGCACUUAACCCGCUGCACUACUGCCUGGCCCCCUUAUUUAUUUAUUUUUAAAAAAGAGAGAGACCAUCAUUUUCACAUAUAUGAUUCCAAGGAUCAAACUCAGGACCACGUAUAUGUGAGUCCUACACUCCACCGUUGCUACGCAUCCCUGUCUUCUGAUAACACUUUCUUUUAUAUGGCUUCAGUUACUUUCAAAUUUUUGUGUUACUGUUUAAACAUUCAGUGCAUCUAAUACAGAGGGAAGACAAGUAAGAAGGGGGAAAUCUAAAGUAGAUGGAUCUAAUAUUAAUUUUCCCACGUGGAAAAAGAACAGUUAGGGUUGAGGGUAGAUAGCAUAUGAUUAGGCAAAAAGACUCUCAUGCCUGAGGCUUCCAAGUCCCAGGUUCAACCCCUAUACCACCAUAUGCCAGCGCUGAGCAGUGCUAACCUUCCCAGUGUGAGUGGGCAGACUGAAAUACC